UCUGUAAUGAAGCAUGAAAACCGAUUAGAACCGUAGAUAUCGGAAGGAUUAUAUCAUUACAACAUUCUCCACGUCCGACCGAGCAUCGUCCACUAAUUCAAACUCUCCUGCAGGUAAAGUAGUGCACAAUAUAUAAAUUAAAAAAAGAAUGACAUAAUAAUAACAGGCGAGAGCUUCUCCACUCUGUUAUUUAUUUACUCAGGAUCCCGUCGAACUGGCUGCUACUACGUAGCAUCAGCAUCUUCAAGGACAAGGCAUCCCUGCUUAACGAUGCUGUAAGAAGGAUUCGAAGAAUGCAAAGAAACCUGUGGAGUAACCUGGAACAGAAUUGUCCACGCGUUACAACGCGCGACUACAAGCACCGCCGGAUGACUACAGCGAGAGAAGAAAAAAAAUCUGGAAUAUGCAUAUCCUUGCGGAAAGCGUCUUGACCGCUAUAAUCAUCUCGACCCAGUCCAGCCAUUAAUAUGAGCGGCUCUCAUCGCUAACAAAAAGGUCGAUUAAAUAGACUGAAGUGAAAUUGAAGCUAGCGGCCUAAGGAUACUUUCUAUAAUAAUAUAUUUCCAGGUUAAAUCAUUAGGAUAUAUAAUAUAUCAGAUUACACCUAUAACAUGAGUGCGUUUGGCAUGCUUCGCUGCUUAGUGUACGGAUACUGUCAAUCAUGCUGCCAAUUGACAUUGUGAAUUUGACCGCGCCUUGAUUGAGCUUGCUCUCUUGUUUGCCAAAUUGACUGGUAUAGGUCAAGGGACGAGCUAACGAAAUGUGACCUUAUGCUAGCCUAUAACGAUUACUUCAUGAUUUUCUUUUAAACUUAGGCAGAGCUCAUUCAGCUAUUGCAGUCAAGCAUUUAUAAUCAUAUGUACAAUUGGCCUUAUGUGACUCUCUGUCUCAUGGUCGUUGAGCUUAUUUAUAGCAAGUAUACAGGAGUAAUUGCAAUGCGCAAUGUGACCAUGCACUUUUUCAGGUAAAAAUUGUUGGACACUGGUAAUGAGUUUAUCUGGUACCAUUGCGAGCAUUAGACAAGGCAAAGAGACUUAGGGAAUCUAAAUAAGUAAAAGGGCUUGUAGUUUGCAUACCCUAAAACUCUGUUGAACUGUUUACACGGGCAUUACGUUACAGUGAGUCAUCGUACUCGACUGAAGUCACGAACCUUUUUGGUACAUGUUACAAAUAUGAAUACGUGGGAUAUUAAGAGUCUAGUCUUGGUACUGCGAGUCGCACUGUAAAAAGGCGUAUUUGAAUUACUAGGAUAAGAUUAAAAAAGAUAGCUUUAUUAAGUUCAUUUAUAAGCAGCAGUAUUUCACUUCCUGUCUCAGACACGUGUAAAGCCUGUAUUACGCUGUCGUAAAGAAUUGCAUUCAGAGUUUCGCUAAUUCACAGAACAAUAAGUAUUCCAGGAAGAAUAUUUGUAAGCAAUCUUUAUAAGUCGCCCGUGAAAUAAAGAUCGUGAGUACUUUUCUUACCACCCGAAGCCACAGUGUGAAAGAUACAUGCAAGAUAAGGAAAAUAAUGGUAAACAAACCGCGAGAGAGUUUAGGCGACUCUUCUAGACCUCAAGUAAGUAUGUAUAGAUCCAAUUGGAAUUUCUUGUGACCAUAAUAGUGUCUAGUGCCACGGACACGCGCGGUUUUCACGUGGUAAUUCUGUGUUAGGAAUCGUGUAACAUUAAUCGUAACGAGAACCCUGUACUCGAGUCAAGUCAAGUCAAGCCGAGUCAUAUGACUCAUUGGCGCAGGCCAAAUACGUUAGGGCACAAAACACGAUUAGGUAUUAUGACUCUGAUCCGGUUUCAAUAAUGCCAACCUAACCUGGUACGUUUCUGCAUCGCUCUUAGCUUUGAUACUCUUAAUCGACUCUCAAGUAACGUCCAGCUUCCAUUUUCGCACUGAAUCGCAGUGGCGAUUUCGCCUUCUGACCAGAAAUGGCGCAGAACAGCAACAGCUGCUCGUGGCUGCAUCUGUUAUAAUACCAUGUACAUACAUAUACUCUACACUUGGUUUCGUUAUCCCAACUGGGAGGGAAAUCCUUUGUGUUUCUAUUGCCAACUCUAAUGUCUUCCCGUGCUUUCUUUAUUCACGCUUUUGAUAGCGCGUUAACGGGUACCACUGCCGUGGGAGAGAGGUUACUUGAAAGGUAACAGAAGCCUGAGAUUCUAUACUGGGUGCAUCCAUAAAUAUCUUCCCCUAUGCAGUUGCCGGAUUAUCCAGCACAUAUGUAUGCGUAUGACUACCCAUGUAGUACUUUUGUAUCUGAGCUUGUACACGUAUACUCUGUAGGUGACUAUGUUUAUAAAUUCCUGAGUAACGGUACAGGCGAAUUUGCGACUAGAAGUUUUAUGCAAAACUAGAAUAAGUACAUAGCAUACCUAUACAGGAUCUUUUACAGUUAUAUAAAACAAAUACUAUGCUAUAGAGAUUUGUUAGGUUCAGCUUGCAGGCGAAGAAUAAUAUUUAUUAUAAGUCAAGAUAAAAAAAGUAAUCUAAUUAUUUAUACAAGAAAGACAAUCCUGAUGUAGAUAUAGACUUGCCGAUCGGUUCUAGAUGCUGGUAAAAUAAACCGUAUGCACAGACAGAUAUCUAAUGUCAGGAUCGUACGUUAUUUAUUAGACGUCUGGCUAAUGGGCUCCUGUGAACCGUUUUUUAGGGACUAAUCGUGGCCAGUUAGUAAGUCAGGAUACGAUCUUCCGUCACGCUCGAUAUAGACGGAUACAGACGGAAACUGGAGAGCAUGAGAUUAUUCCAGUUUCCUUGUUUGACAAGACACAUAGUUUGUGGCGCCAACCAGUAGGUACACAGUGUCGCAGGAAAAAUAAUUUUAGGAAAUAAAAAAUUCUUCAAAAUAUCUAUUCAUCAGACUGUUAUGUUAAAUUUGUACUUUUAUGUUCAGGAAGCUGAAUCUGUCCAGUGGUAUGCGAUAAGGAAUAAUUUCCGGACAGCAAAGUACUGCCAAGCCUGUAACUCCGUCAUUGUUCAAUUAUUGUGCAAUUGCUAGUACACGUGUAUGCAUACGUAUAUGUACACCUAUGACUUAUGGCUACGGUCGUGGAAAUGAGAUAAACGACUGACUGGUUAUCUAGAAAACGUGAAGUUUUCACCGCAUGGAGAAAGCCAGUGACACGCGGUCCAGGUCUUUGGCAGUCAUCGCCAAAAGAAAAGACUGAUUAAUGAAGAACCAAUGGCAAUCGUAUCUCAUGCACGGAUGGAUAAGUCGGUCUGGAUCACAGCCAGAUGAAUACGCGGUAUCAGCUUGUGCUAAAACGUAUUAUCUACGUUAUAUUAUCACCCUAUUUUCUUUUCUACUGGACCAAUAACGAAUCACGCAAUAGCACAUAAGAUUAUUAUAUAUUGUGAAGAUAGCGAUAGAAGUAUAACUAUAGCUUUUCUUCUCUUUGUUCUUAUUUCUUUGCUUUUGAUUCAUCACUUAUGGACAUGAUCUUUCAAUGAUGAAAGAUUCCGACAACUAUGCUAACGAUCUCUCUCCUUGUACGCUGUAGCUUUUACGGUAAUGCUCGUAGGAUUUGUUAUGGUCUGUUCGUUAAUUUACCUAGGGGUUAAUUAUAAGCAAGGCAAUUAAUAUCCAUUGGCCACGUAUGAUUUUAAUAUGGUAUCAUCGUAAUGGAUAUGUAUGAUAGAUGAUAGAUAGACGACGUAGAGAAGAAUGACUGUAUCUAUAUAGGAAUGUUCGUUCGUUAUGCUUGUUCGUGGAUAUUUUAAAUGUCAAGAUUUGUGUCCUCGGACAGAGCAGGAUAGGAACGAUUUUUGUAAAUCCUUCUGAAGCUUUCGAAUUCUCUUUGUAAUGUUAAAACGAUGAGACACAAAGAACGAGCGGGGGCCUCUUCGUCUUGAGAUUUUGGACCUGGACCAAUGGCUUCCCCGAAUAAAUAUAUAUACAUAGACGUGGUGUAUAUACGCCAUAUACUAAUCUAGAGAGAGCCAAGAAGAUUCCCAAUGAAAGGCUGAGAAUCAUAUGUAUGUAUAUACGUGGAUAUAUAGACUCUUGUUUUCAUCGGUCCGAUGCGUAUUUCUCUUUGUCACCUUUCUUGGUCUUAUAAAUAUACAAUUUCUAUGAUGUAUUCAUACGUA